rnacentral:lncRNA from 1 species
UUUUAGUAUAGUAGUUCCUGCUUGAUAUUACUGCAUGCUUGAUAUGUUGCUUAUGUUUUAUAACUAUUUACGUUACUUUUGUGGGAGUACCUAUGCUUUAUUAUUUGAUUUUGUCUUGCUUGUGUUUCUAAUUUUAUCUCUGUUUCUUAAUGCAGCUUUCCCAUUUUUAAUCUACUCGCCGAGGGUCGAUUGGAAGCAGCCUCUCUGUCCUUUCGGGCAGGGGUAAAGCUCGUCUACAUAUUACCCUCCCCAGACCCCACCUGGUGAGAGUAUACUGGGUAGUUGUUGUUGUUGUU